GUUAACACGGAAGAAAAGUACAUUCAGUUUCUUUUUCUAGAGAGUCUGUGGAUGGUGAAAACAGAUAAAUGGGCUGAGUCGAAUGGGCUUCCUGAGGACUGACUGUGAACACGAAAAGUAGCCGUCAGCGGCAUAAAGCCGUUAUCUUUUUUUUAAGUGCUUUUUGCAAUGGCAAGAAGUAACAGGGUGGCACCGCGGAAAAUAAAUUCGUCCCUAGC
rnacentral:ncRNA from 1 species